CUCAGACAAUACCCCCAUAUAUUCCUUUCCUAAAUGAGGGAUCUGGGGUGAAUGAACUUUCAUUGGUGAUAAAUAUCAGCAAAACAUACAGUGAGAACUUACAGGUGUAUAACAAGGGAAUUAAAAGAUAUGUGAUAGCUUUUUAAAUGCAAAUUAUGAAAAAGUGGCUAAGAAUAGCUAGUGUACAUUGACCCUUUUAUCAGUGUGAAACUGAUACAAAGCUGGGAGGAAUGGCUGACACACCAGAAGGAUGCUCUGCCCUUCUGCAAGAUCUGGACAGACUGGAGAGCUGGGAGGAGAGAAACCUGAUGAAGUUCAACAAGGGCAAGGGCAGAGUCCUCCACCUGUGAAAGAAGAACCAUAUGCAUCAGUACAGGUUAGGGGCUGACUUGCUGGAGAGGAGCUCUGUGGAGAAGGACUUGGGUGUUCUGGUGGACAGCAGGAUGGCCAUGAGCCAGCAGUGUGCCCUUAUGGCCAACAAGGCCAACAGUAUCUUGGGGUGCAUUAGAAAGAGCAUAGCCAGCAGAUCAAGGGAGGUGAUCCUCCCCCUCUGCUCUGCCCUGGUGAGGCCUCACUUGGAGUACUGUGUCCAGUUCUGGGCUCCUCAGUUCAAGAAAGAUGAGGAACUACUGGAAAAAGUCCAGAGGAAAGCCUAAAAGGUGGCUACGGGCAUGGAGAAUCUCCUUUAUAAGGAAAGACUAAAAGACCAGAGGUUGUUCAGCCUGGAGAAGAGUGAGAGGAAAUCUUAGAACUCUUAUAAAUAUCUAAAGGGCGGGAGUUAAAGAGCCAGGCUCUUUUCAGUGGUACCCAGUGACAGGACAAAGGGCAACAGGCACAGACUGGAGCAUAGAAAGUUCCAUAAGAACAUGAGAAAAAUCUUUACUUUGAGGUUGGCAGAACUCUGGAGCAGGCUUCACAGAGAGGCUAUGGAAACAGCAUGGGCUUUUCCUGGGCUUUCUGGAGGGAUCAACUAGCUACCCUCCCACCUAGCAGUUUGGAGAAAAUAUUCUAAGCAGUACAAAUUAGCAUCAGCGAAUUUCCUGCCACCAACCACUUUUGCUCAUUUGGGCCACAUCUUUCAUCUCACUUUAACUUGAAAUCUUUCCUAUCACAAUGGAUCCCCAGUUCAGAAACACUGAAUUGAAACUGCUUGCUGUCUCUUCAUGCUUUUCCAAUAUGGAAGGGUCUGAAUAACGGUGAAGCAGGACAAACAAGAAUCAAAAUGUCUCAGUUGGUUCCCUUUUUAUUAACAAUGAAGGAUGAUACCCAUGUUCAUAAUAUCCGUUGGAGGUCAAUAGAUCAUUUAAACCCGUUACGUGGGCUUGGUGCUGACAUACGUCAUGACACUGUGAACAUCAGCAAGCUGUCUAAAAUCCUUCCUUUUGGGACUAUGAGGUUUAGGUAACCUGGCAUCGUUUACUGUAGUCUGUUAACUGAGCUCUCUGUACUGUUCUCAGAAUUAUUACACUUCCAUAAAUGUACACGCGUGCAUCUGUGUUAUUUCCAUUUAUUGUGAACACUGUGUACAUUUUCAAAGGUAUUUUCUGCAUAUUUGACAGAAGAAAAAGGAAGAAAAAAGGACUGCCAGAAGGGAACACUACAGUUGCAAGAGACAGCUUCUCUGGGUUUAUACAGCAGGUGGAACAUUAACUAAUGUGGAAACUAAGGAUUUGCUGACAGAAAAUAUGUAUAUAUAUUGCCCAGGAAUGCGAGGAUUUACACUGGAUCCAAAAUGCUGAAUGCUUCAGCUUUAAUUGUUUAGAAAAAAAAGAUAUCAAAAAAUUUUUUCCUUCCACAGUUCUCUAGAUAGAGCUUUAUUAUUGGUUUUUUUUUUUUUUCAGAAUGUAGGAUGAAUACAAUGUCUCUGAUGUACUUACUGUUGUUUUUAAACAGAAUUGUCCUCUCUUUGCAUGAAAAGUUUUGUCUUUCAGUAGAAACUACAUUUUUAUUCAAGUGCACAGAAGAUUAAUCCAGGAUCUGAAGCACAGGUCUUGGGGUGAGCUGAGGGAAAUGGAAUUGUUUGGUCUGGAGAAGAGGAGGCUCAGGGAAGACCUUAUUGCCCUCUACAACUGCCUGAAAGGAGUCUGUGGCAAGAUGGGGGUUGGCCUCUUCUCCCAUGUAGUUAGUGAUAGGACAAGAAGUAAUGGCUUUAAGUUGUGCCAGGGGAAGUUCAGGUUCAAUAUUAGGAAAAAAUUAUUCUCCAAAAGAGUGUUAAUGCAUUGGAACAGGCUGCCCGGGGAAGUGGUGGAGUCCCUGGAGGUGUUAAUAAAAGGUGUAGAUGUGGAACUUACGGAGGUGGUUAGUGGGCAUGGUGGGGACAGAUUGGUGGUUGGACUAGAUUACCGUAGAGGUCUUUUCCAAUGUUAAUGAUUCUAUGAUUCUAUGGAUUAUGAGGUUAUCUCUGGGACUCCUCUCUCAUGGCUUCUCCACCACAUCUUUGGCCGCACUACUGUGAUGUAGAUGCCCUUCUGAGGAGGAUCUGAAAGAGGCAUGCCAUACCUUCCACAAGCUGGGUACAGAAUUUCCCUCCUGUGCAUCUUGCUGACCAUACUGGAGCAGUAGUUGGAGCUCAGUUUCCUUCCUGUUGCUUCUCCCAUAACAAAAGGCCAGAGAAGAUGGUGUUCUAGAAUGAACUCACCAACAUGAUCUUGCAUUAGACUUUUUGUCUAGCAUAGAUGAGGAAAGUCACAUUUCUAAAUGCAUUAGCACAUCAGAAGCAGCCAAUGGAUCUGGGGGCAGGUAUUGGAAAUAGAAUGUAGGAGAUGUAAGCUCAGAGCAACAGAGACAACCAGCCUGCUUUAAAAAUGUUUUAAAUUAAAUAUUUCAAAUUAGGCACUGACAGCUGAGGAAGAUGGCACACUUGUGACCACUUAGGACAUAUUUUGCCUUUAAUGGAAGCAAAUACUUUCAGUCAUCCUGCCAAUACUGAUUUUAGUUUGAAAGAGAAUAGCUGUGCUUCAUGUUGUUGGAUUUCAGUUUAGAGCAAAUGAGUAAUUGCUACAGCCAAAGAUAAUAGCUGAAUGGAAAGGAUAUUUCAUAAGAAUUCUUUUUUUGCAGAAUUCAUUAGGGUCCUGAUAUGACAAAAGUCAUAUCUAGCACCUCCUGCUCCCUCCCCGCCUUGAUGGAAGAUUUAAGAUUUUAAUCUUCAAUAAUAACGUAUAACCAGUUAUUUUUGCCACUGAGAUUAAGUGAACUGCCAAAUGAUUAUGCUUAAUAUUGUUAAAUUUUAAAGGGUGGCAAGAAUUUAUGUUCUGGCCUUUUUUUUUCUUAAACUUAUUGUAUUGCUGUCCUCCAGGAGUGUUUCCUCCUGGACACUCACCAGCCUAACGCACUGACCUCUGUACAUGACUCUUUCAGGCACCACUUUCACCCUCAGGAAGGGGAUUCACGUCCCAAAUACCCCAUAGACCAGGGAACUUUUGCCAUUGUUGUCCCCUGACUUUGCCUGUGUUCCAUACCAAAGGGCCAGCAGUUACUCUGCUUCCUCUCAUCUUCAGUCUUCCCCAGAAUCUGAGGAGCCUGACUCACUAUCUACAAGUUUAACCCAGCUGCCUACUUAUCUAGUUGCAGGGUAUAGCAUUUGUGGAUUUUUUUUAAGUUGGUAUGUUAGUGUAGAUCAGAGAUUUCAAGUAGACUUCAUGCAGUUUAGCAGACAGUGAGAAGCUAACCAGCAUGUCUUUGCUUCUUCUCUCUUUUGCUGUGGGAUAGUUUUUCCUUAUUUGACCUUAGUUCUUGAGGUAAUUCAGAAUAAAAAGAGACAAAGGCAAUAAUUUGACCACAUCCUUUGCUGAAUUACACAAAUAUGCGAAGGCCUACUUUCACGAGUGGUAAGAUGGACGUUGCCAAACUAGCCCAGUGCAUGGCAGCUGGUAGAUUUUGGAAACCUGCAUCUUCUCUCGAACAGUUGUGUUAUGUACUCAGUAGUGAAUACACAUCGUCACUCAUUCCUUAUUCAUCUCCAAGACCACAAAUGAAGAUAAACAGCUAUUCUUAUGUCCAUGGUUCCCCCCUUGAAUGCAGAAGGUCUAAUGCUCCCUCUAUUUCACAGAAAGUCAAAACAUAUAACUGAUUUUAUUUCUCCUGUAGGUUAGGGCAGAGAAGGAAAGAUAGACUGGGUAUUUCAGCAUUAUAUUUCCACAUCCCCUUAGCUUCAUGUGUUCUGGUGCAUUCACUGUUUGCCACACCUUUUUCUCUUCCUUGGCUCUCAGGACAAACAAGUUUUUGGGAUCCAUCACUGCAGAGCAUCUUAAUUUGUUCUCUGAAAUGUGGCAAUAAGUCAAUGCUGAGAACAGCUUGGGAGAGGGGAACAUAAUGCCCCUGGCUAUCCUAUAAUUGACAUUGCCCUGCAUUUUUGGCUUUUCUCUCGUAACCUGAGGCUUGGGGGAACUAGUGGAGGGAACUGAAAAAUCCAUUGCAGCUUUGCAUACAGUAAAUUCAUAAACUCAGCCAGAAACCUAACAAAAUCUCCAAAUUUUCAGAGAACUACCAUAGUGUGUGUUUUAAUGUAAUGUUAUCAUAUCUUUUCUCUUUGCAGCUGUUAAGGUCAUUUGCAGGAAAGAUGGCCUCAAUAGUCCAGAAAAAAAAAAGGCUUGCUGACAUUAAUGAAUGUAGAAUUCAUCUAGGGGUAGAAAACUUCAAAGUAAUGUUAGGAUAGGAUAAUAUCAUUCAGAAGGAAGGCUUUUCAGUAGCACUGCUGAUUAUUUUGGAAAAGGAUGGACAAUUCUUAAAGUCCACUGAGUCUCCUUCCUUCCUCACCUCUUCCCUCCACUCCCCUCCUACUUUCCCUUCUCCUCUACUCUCCCCCCCUCUCCACUUCAGGGCGCGUGCCCAGAGGCAGGAAAACUUUCCCAAUUAAAAGGAAUAUCACAUUCCUUCUACAAAUCUAAAGACUAAUUACCACCACUGUCUUAGUAAGGCAUUCUCAAAAUAAUUAGUUAAUGACACACACCUUGCUGAUGCACAAUAAUAGCUUUUAAAAAUAUCUCUCCUUCACCUUUCACUCACACACAAAACCCAGCUGGGUUAAUUUCUAAAUGUAAAUUCACAGCUCUUCCUUCAUCAUAUCUAUAAUUUCUUAACACUAGUAGCUGUUAUGUAAUUUUCAAGAGUUUAAAUGCCAACUUCACUCAUCUACUUGCAUACAAAGCUGCUGAUAUUUCUUCAAUAUCUUCAUGAACACAUAAAAUAGAGAAAGGUUUGCUCAUACAAUUCAAAGGGUAUAAGUAAGACUUUAGUAACCAUGAAGUUACUUACGUACCAAGGAAAACAGGCUGCUUUCACAAAUGAAAACAAGUUAAUGUAGCUUUAUGCCUGUUAUUUCAAAAACAUAUACAAGAUACAAUUAAUUUCAAAUUUACCCUAAUCUCAUUAGACAAUCAGGAGCCUCAAACAUAUAUAGAAAAGGAAAAAAGCAGGAAACUUCAUAGAUAUCAUACGCCUGCUUCUGAAAUGAGGGUUUCCUUAAUGCACUUCUAAUUACCACUCUUAUAAACAGAAGAGCCUGUUAUUUGAAACCCAUUUCUACUUAUUUAGGGAGAUGGGUGCACACUUACAGGAAGUUUCAUAGCAGUGAGUUAUCAUUGUCAUUCACAAACUCUGAGCAUUUUUAAGCUACUGAAAUUCAUUCUUACAAAAGAGCACGGAUGACCUGAAGGUAAAGAUUCACUGAUAUUCCAGUUAGAAAUCAUUUGAACUAAAGUAACAUGCUGAGGCUUACUCACAACUGAAUCCUUGUUACUGUAGAUGCAAGGUAAGCAAGUAAGAUUGAAAGCACUUAAGCAAGCCUUUGGGUAGGAACUGGCCUGGUAUCAUCCAUACAUAGCAUAGAAAGAAAAAUAAAAAAUAACAAAACAAAAAAAAUCACAUUCAAUUGGGAGAAUAAAGUAAAAUAAUCAGCAGUGUAGCUUCUAUUUCCCCUCCUAAACACUGUCAGAUUUCAGAAAUCACACAUGUAUUUUUUGUCUUGCACAUUUUUAGCCUCUCUCUUAUUCCUCUCCAGAUUCUUUCUGAAUUAAAGUCAAAGCAUAAAUAUCAAACUGUGCUACAAAGUACUCAGAGGUAAAUAUAAGGUGUGCAAAUCUGAAGUUGAAAUCAUGAAGGGAUCAGACACUCUUUCUGCCCAGUAAUGCCGUAGUCCAGGCAGUUCACAUCUUACUCUGGAUGGCCCAAGGCCAGCACUGACCUAAGUUCCUACCAGGGCAUCCCCAAAGCACUCAUGUUCUGGGUUUUGGCAGAGCUGCCAGCUUUGGGAACAGUGCUUCUACAAUGCACGUUCUCAGGCAGGACUUUCCACUUCUACUCUACCAGCAGAACCUGGUAGAAUGAAGUUGCUAUUCUCAAGAACACUGUCACCAGACUGCCAUUUUCUCUGACAAAGAAGGAAGAAAAAUAGAAUAACAGCAGACUAUCCCCACAGGUAGUUACCAAAGCACCAGUCAAAGGCAGAACUUCUGUUGGCCAUAACUUUCUUAGCAGCUUGUUCCACAUAAGACCCCUUCACAGGGGUGAUGGGUACAGCAUCCUUUGCAGCAACUUUUGCUAAGCAAUAACUCAUACCCAUUGGCAGUUCUGUCAGUCCAGGAAAUCUCUCUCUGAAGGUGAAUACAUUUUAAACGUAUUCCUAUAUUGACUUAGUUGAAUUUUUAAAGUGCUGUGUUCACUUGAUGAAUAAAGCACUCCUCCUUUCUGUUCCUGUACAACAAAUGUAGGCAAGAUCAAAUUCUUCCCCUCCUGCCUUGAACAGCCUUCUUUUCAGCACAAAGUGCUCUUUGAGGAUUUUAGGGCAGAUAAUUUACAGGUUGUUCUGGCAGCUCCAUCACUAUCUGUCUCCAUUGCUUCAGCAAGAUGGACUCCACUGCUGCAUUAUAAAACCUUUGCCCAGAAACAAUGACAAUAAAACAUGGUCCGGUAAGGUCUCUGUGGACAGUUUCUGUAGGUGCAGGUGCUACAAGGUCUCAAGGAUAGUCAUAGCCUUUGAAUUGUUCUGCUUGUCCCUCAAUGCUUGACACUGAUAAGACCACAUCUUGAGUACUCCUCACCGCAAGAAGGAAGCUGAGUUUGUUGAACAUGUGCAAAACACAGCAACAGAGCUGGUGAAAGAACAAGAAAAUAAGAGUUACCAGGUGUGCAUGCGAAAACUGGAGCUAUUUAGUAUGGAGAAAAGGAGGCUGAGGGGAGACCUCAUCACUCUCUACAGUUAAAUGAAAGGAGUAAGGUGUUACCCUGUUUUUUCAAGUGACAAGUGAGAUGACGUGAAGAGAGAGCUUCACGUUGUGCCAAAGGAGGUUUAGGCUGGAAAUCAGGAAUAAUUUUUCAGGCACAGAAUAGGUUGCUCAGGGGAAUGGUGGAAUCCUCAUCCCCGGAGGUAUGUAAGAUACAUGGAUGUGGUGCUUAGGGAUAUGGUUCAGUGGUUCAGUCAGUAGUGAUAGGUUGGUGGUUGGACUUGAUGAUCUUAAGAGUCUUAUCCAACCUAAAUGAUGCUAUGACUCUAUUGGAAGGUAUAUAGGGAAAGAGAUAUGAAAACUAACCUGUACAUAAAUAAAUAAAAUGCUGCAGCUACAAUGUAGUUCAUUAAUUUAGUGUUCAUUAUGUACCACCAAAGAAAAAUAUUCAUUCUAUUGAAUCAUGAUAAAGGAAAUAGACAGGAGCCUGUCUAGGCUGGAUAGCGGGGCAUAGGCUGGAUAGCUGGGCUGAAGCCAAUGGGAUGGGAUUCAACAAGACCAAAUGCCGGGUCCUGCACUUUGGCCACAAUAACCCCAGGCAACGCUACAGGCUUGGGGCAGAGUGGCUGGAAGACUGUGUAGAGGAAAUGGACCUACGGAUGUUGAUUGACGCUAGACUGAACAUGAGCCAGCAGUGUGCCCAGGUGGCCAAGAAGGCCAAUGGCAUCCUGGCUUGUAUCAAAAAUAGUGUGGCCAGCAGGAACAGGGAAGUAAUUAUCCCCCUGUACUCAGCACUGGUGAGGCCACACCUCAAGUACUGUGUCCAGUUUUGGGUCCCUCACUGUAAGAAAGACAUUGAGGCUCUGGAGCGUGUCCAGACGAGGGCAACAAAGCUGGUGAGGGGUCUGGAGCACAGGUCUUAUGAAGAGCGGCUGAAGGAGCUGGGAUUGUUCAGUCUAGAGAAGAGGAGGCUCAAGGGAGACCUUAUUGCUCUCUAUAACUACCUGAAGGGAGGUUGUGGUGAGCUGGGGGUCAGCCUCUUCUCUCGGGUGACUAGUGGUAGCACUAGAGGGAAUGGCUUCAAGCUGCACCAGGGAAGGUUCAGGCUAGACGUUAGGAAAUACUACUACUCUGAAAGAGUGGUCAGGCACUGGAAUGGGCUGCCCAGAGAGGUGGUGGAGUCACCGAGCCUGGUGGUAUUCAAAGAGCAUUUGGAUGUUGUGUU
ensembl:lncRNA